rnacentral:rRNA from 1 species
UACAGAGGGUGCGAGCGUUAAUCGGAAUUACUGGGCGUAAAGCGUUCGUAGGUGGCGCAGUAAGUCGGGUGUGAAAGCCCCGGGCUCAACCUGGGAAUUGCAUUCGAGACUGCAUUGCUGGAGUACGGAAGAGGAAGGCGGAAUUCCCGGUGUAGCGGUGAAAUGCGUAGAUAUCGGGAGGAACAUCAGUGGCGAAGGCGGCCUUCUGGUCCAGUACUGACACUCAAGUGCGAAAGCGUGGGGAGCAAACAGG